rnacentral:rRNA from 1 species
AUGGGCUCCGACCGCGGGGAGCUCGCGCGCCUCUGCAGCGGCCGCAACUGGUCCAAGGCCAUACGCCUCCUCGACUCCAUCCUCGCCCGCUCCCCCUCCUCCNNNNNNNNNNNNNNCAACCGGGCCUUCUGCUACUUCCAGCUCGAGCUCCACAAGCACGUCGUCAAGGACUGUGACCGCGCGCUGCAGCUCGACCCCGCGCUUCUCCAGGCCUAUGUCCUCAAAGGCAAGGCACUGUGCGCAUUGGGGAAAAAUGAGGAAGCUUUGGUUGCUUGGGAGCAAGGACAUGAGAUUGCUGUCCGUGACACAAUUGACCUGAAACAGUUGCUGGAAUUGGAAGAAUUAGUUUCUUCUGUUAAAAUUUAUGAGACGGUUGAGUGUGAAGACGUUGUGGAUGCAUCACCAUGUGAUACCAAAGUUGUUAUCUCAGAAGAUCGUUUUAUCAACACGUCAUUCACUGCAGCUACAACUGAUACAAAAACUGUUGUGUGUGAAGAGAACACUGCAAAUUCCAAAUCUUUAUCAAAUAGUGAUGCACUGUUACCUAACAACAGUAAAGACCAUAAAGAUUCUGUCAGUCCAGCAAAAGACACCACAGUGACACAUCAAACUCCCAAGAAACAGCCAAAGACAGAUAAGAAAAACAAAGCAAAAGUUAAAAAAGAAACAAAUGGCCAGGCUGAAGAUGUGGAGGAGAGAAGAAGUUCCGAUGAAACCAUAACACUAGAUCAAGCACUGUUUGCUACAAAAGUGUCAAAAUCAUCCAAAUCAAUAAGUUUGGAUUUUCGACUAUCGCGAGGCAUUGCACAGGUAAACGAAGGAAGGUACGACCAAGCAAUAUCCAUUUUUGAUCAGAUACUGCGGGAAACUCCAACUUAUCCAGAGGCACUAAUUGGGAGAGGUACAGCAUAUGCAUUUCAAAGAGAACUGGACUCUGCUAUUUCUGACUUCACCAAGGCUAUACAAUCAAAUCCAUCAGCUGGGGAGGCGUGGAAGCGGCGGGGACAAGCUCGCGCUGCUUUAGGAGAGUUUGUCGAGGCUAUUGACGACUUGACUAAAGCAUUGGAAUUUGAACCAAAUUCUCCUGAUAUUUUACAUGAAAGGGGAAUUGUGAACUUCAAAUUCAAGGACUACAAUUCCGCAGUAGAAGAUCUCUCAACAUGUGUGAAGCGUGACAAGAAAAACAGUUCUGCACACACUUACUUGGGUCUUACUCUUUCAGCAGUUGGAGAGUACAAACGUGCUGAAGACGAGCAUCUCCUUGGCAUAAAAUACGAUGGGAGUUUUCUGGAUAGCUGGGCUCACCUUUCUCAGCUUUAUCUUGAUUUGGCUUAUCCAGAGAAGAUGUUGGAUAACCUUGAGAAAGUUCUUCAAAUUGACUCGAGGUUUUCAAAAGCAUACCAUCUACGUGGAAUUCUCUACCAUGGAAUGGGUAGGCAUAGGAGUGCUAUUAAAGAGUUAUCAACUGCUUUGACACUUGAUGCUUCAAGUAUUGAGUGCCUAUACCUGCGUGCCUCUUGCCAUCAUGCGAUUGGAGAAUAUAAGGCUGCGAUCAAAGAUUAUGAUGACGUACUCGAUCUGGAGCUUGAUUCCAUGGAUAAGUUUGUGCUGCAAUGUUUAGCCUUCUAUCAGAAGGAAAUUGCUCUGUACACUGCUUCUAAGGCGAAUUUAGAGUUCUCUCAGUUCAACAUUGAUGAUGAUGUUGAUCCACUAUUCAAGGAAUAUUGGUGCAAACGACUGCACCCAAAAAAUGUGGCCGAAAAGGUAUAUCGCCAACCACCAUUACGGAUCUCACUUAGAAGUGGGCGUCUUAAUAAGCAAGACUUCAAGUUCACAAAGCAUCAAACUAGUCUUCUCCUAGCCGCAGAUUCAAUUGGGAAGAAGAUUCAGUAUAAUUGCCGCGGCUUCUUGCCGAAUCAACGCCAGUACCGCAUGGCUGGCUUAGCUGCUAUUGAGAUUGCUCAGAAAGUUUCCAAGGCUUGGCGCUUUCUGAGAAAUCCGAAGAACAGUGCAAAGUUAGUCAGGAGAAGGGAUAAGCAUAACAUGAGCGUAAACAGGGGAGGCUACUGUAGCACCAGUACUUUAUCCGCUGGAUCUCCAACAUCUAGUCCAAGUGAGGAAAGGGUUUCGUCUGGGAUUUCUCUGUCCUGGCAGGAUGUCUAUAAUAUUGCUGUCAAGUGGAGACAGAUUUCUGAACCUUGUGAUCCAGUUGUUUGGGUCAAUAAGCUAAGUGAAGAGUUCAAUUCUGGUUUUGGUUCUCACACCCCAUUGCUUCUUGGUCAAGCGAAAAUUGUUCGCUACUAUCCAUAUUACCUAAGAACUUUGGAAGCUGCGAAAACCAUUAUGCUUGACUUGAAGUAUGUCAAUAAUGCAGAGGAUCGUGCAAUUUUCCUUACAGAUAUUGAGAAGUUGAAAAACAUAGAAGUUGCCUCAUCAUGCUCAGAUUUGUACAAUGUAGUUGGUGAGACCUAUUGGGUUGCUACUAGAUGUGAUAGUAUUGCGUUUCAGGGGAGGCGUCUUGAAGGGACAAGGAUAACUACUCAAAAUGUGGGUAAGACAGGAUUUGACUUCGCCAUACGAACUCCUUGUACACCAUCUAGAUGGGAGGAAUACCAGGAAGAAAUGACCGCAGCCUGGGAGGCCAUUUGCGAGGCGUAUUGUAGCGACCCAAAUCCUACGCGUGACUCCAAUGCACUUGAUGCUGUGAAGGCGUCAAUAUUACGCAUGACAUAUUACUGGUACAACUUCAUGCCACUCUCCAGAGGAUCAUCGGUUGUAGGUUAUGUGGUGCUGCUCGGCCUGUUCCUGGCAGCAAGCAUGGAUGUGACAGCAAGCAUCCCGCCAGGCGUUCAGGUCGACUGGGAGGCGAUCCUGUCCCCAGAUCCUGGCACAUUUGUGGAUGCUGUUAAGCCCUGGUUGUACCCAUCUGUAAAAAUGAGCAAGAGCCUGAAAGAUUAUGCGGAUGUCAGCGUUGCUUUCGGCACGACAGGAUCGGUCGUAGCGGCCUUGACUUCUGCCGACACAUAA